UUCCAUGGUAAAUGGUAAUGUACAUACUAUUGAUCCUUUUCGGCACAUGCUGCGAUUGGGAUAUCAAGAAAAUACAAGUCUUGUUGAUGCUAAGAAUGCUGGGGUUGUCAAUUUCAAUGGCUGAGCAAAACCAUGGCUAGAUAUUAUUUUUCCAAAACUAAGGCCAUUGUGGACCAAAUAUGUUGACUUUUCAGAUAACUUCAUCAAGAGUUGUCACAUUAUUGCAUCAUAACUUGGAUAUUGAGAAAAUGUGACACUUUUAAUGUUGAAGAAAAGGUAUUUGUACAGAAGGGAACGAAAAUGAGAGGACUUCCAUGUGCAAGCCAGUGGCUUCAGAAUAAGAAUUUUAUAAGAAAAGUGAGCUUUUGGAUGGACAAAAAGAUCACAACACUCCCAUUUUUUUGCUAUUUAAUUUACAUAUCACGUUUUAUAUUUGCGAAAUUUAAUUGAUAUAUGCACUAAAGUAUUUACACCUGCAUUAAAGACAUUUCAUCAU
rnacentral:lncRNA from 1 species